rnacentral:rRNA from 1 species
UACAGAGGUCUCGAGCGUUGUUCGGAUUCAUUGGGCGUAAAGGGCGCGUAGGCGGCGGGGUAAGUCUGGUGUGAAAUCUAGGAGCUCAACUCCUAAACUGCACUGGAUACUGCUCUGCUAGAGGACUGGAGAGGAGACUGGAAUUCACGGUGUAGCAGUGAAAUGCGUAGAUAUCGUGAGGAAGACCAGUGGCGAAGGCGGGUCUCUGGACAGUUCCUGACGCUGAGGCGCGAAGGCCAGGGGAGCAAUCCGG